GGGUCCACUUUAUGUUCAGAUUUUUUUCAACAAAAGUUACACAAGUAUGCCUGCCUCUCCUGACUCCCCUUCCACUUCCUCCACCUCUUCUGCUUCUGUCAUCCUUGAGACAGCAAGACUAAUGCCUCCUCUCUCCGCGCCUCUCAGCCUCUCAGCCUACUCAAUGAGAAGACGCAAAGAUGAAGACCUUUAUGAUGAUCCACUUCCACUUAAUGAACAAUAUAUUUUCACUUCCUUA